rnacentral:rRNA from 1 species
AUAGUACGUGAACCGUUCAGGGGUAAACCUGAGAAACCCGAAAGGUCGAAAGGGGAGAUUCAGCGCGUCUCUCGUCCGCCCGCGAGCGGUGAGCUUCCUGCGACGGUCGGCGAACGCGCCGGCCGCGCUGCUCGCCGCUACAUGGGACCGGAAAGAUGGUGAACUUCUCCCCCAGUAGGACGUCUCGACCCGUUGGGCGCGGGCCUAAGGACCGGUGGGGCAGAUCGCGGCGGACCCCUUCACGGGCGUCCGUCCGGACCCCCGGCUCCCGGCCCGCUCGCUCGACGGUAUGACAGUGGCGCGGGGCCGCGAUGUGUUCGCGUCCGGCCCGUCGCAAGUGCCCGCGGUUAAUCCGGCUGUUCGGACCUAGCGCCGACACCGGACCCGUCGGGACUGCUGGCGGCGGUGUCCUCGGACAGACCCCGUUUUACACGCCCGUCAGCGACGCUAUAGCUUUGGGUACUUUCAGGACCCGUCCUGAAACACGGACCAAGGAGUCUAGCAUGUGCGCGAGUCAUUGGG